rnacentral:lncRNA from 1 species
UUUUCCAGAUAUGAUUGUUGAUGACUGAUUUCUGAGCAAUGAUGUCAAUGAAAAGUUAUAACUUUAGAAUCACCAUGGCAACAACACAUCAUCAGUGAGGAGUGAUGACAGCAAAAUGACAGAGAAAAAGUUCUCCAGCUUCUCUCCACUGCACUCCUACAGAAUUUCAACUGGCAAUUAUCUAGUGGCAAGGUUACCACCUGAAUAUCCCAGAAGUUGGGAGCAAAAGUGUGUCAUUCCAUUGGACCACAGAGCUGAGAAAAAACAUAGUGAAGUGAUAAGAGAAAUGAAAUGUGCUCUGUGACCACAAUGGCCACACCCCCAAACUUACACAGCACCACAAGCAGAAAAGUCCUCUGUAUGUACAGUUUCUACAGUGAAAAAAGUGAAGUAGAGGUGGGCAUUCAGCUUUCCCACCAUUCUGAGACUUUUAUGCAGGAGGAUCUCUCCAGUCCUUUCCCAUGGGAGGCAUUGCAAGUGCGAAUAGGACUAGCCCAACAUGGGUCAAUUAGAAACAAAGAAUAGGGGUUGAGUGCACAGCAGCCAAUUCAUAAGCCUUGGUGCCAGCCUCUACAGAACUGGGCUUAGGCUACCCUCUAUUGCUACAAUAGAUACAGUGGUCAUGUGCUAAGAGAUCAAAACAGCAGUCUGGUCAGUAAGAAUUUUUGUACAGGUAUACUGUGUGAGGAUUGUCACAAAGUGAGACUAUGAAGACUGGAAUAAAUACUUACAUAUUCAGUGUUCAGACACUGAUAACCACAAAAAUCAAGAACAAUUAGGGAAACAUGACAUCACCAAAAAGUCAAAUCAAGGUGCCAGUGACUUGACUCUAAAGAGACAGAGAUGUGUGAUUUUCCUGAUUAAAGAUUCAAAACAAUUGUUUCAAAAAAGCUCAGUGAUCUUCAAGAAAAUGCACAGAAGCACUUUAGAAAUUGUCAGAUAAAUUUAACAGAAAGAUUGAAAUAAUAAAAAAUAAUUAAACAGAAAUCAUAGAGCUAAAAAGUAGAAGGAAUAAAAUAAAAAAUGCAACAGCGAGCGUGAACAAUCAGAUUCAAUUCUUGUAAAACUAUCCCAAGACAUAUGAUAAUAAAACUCUCAAAGGUCAAAAAUAUGGAGAGAUUUAUAAAAGCAGCAAGUGAAAGAAAGCAAAUAACAUAUGAGAUUCCAAUACACCUGGCUGCAGACUUCUUAGCUAAGAAGGCCAGGAAGAAGUGGGAUGAUGUAUUAAAAGUACUGAAGGAAAAAAACAAACAGCCAAUCAAGAAUACUGUACCCAGCAAAGAUAGUGUUCAAAAUGAAAGAGAGACAAAUACUUCCCCAGACAAACAAAAGCUGAGGAAGUUUAUCACUACCAGAUCUGUCUUACAAGAAAUGCUAAAAAGAGAUUUUCAAACAGAAGGAAAAGGACAAUAAUGAAUAAUAUAAAAACAUCUGAAGGUAUAAAACUCACUGGCAAAAUUAAGUAUAUAAUCAAAUUCAUAAUACCCUAAUAAUGUAAUCAUAGAAUAUAAACCUCAUGUCUUUAGUAUGAAAAUGAAAAGACAAAACUAUUAAAAUAAUAACUAUAACUGGUUAUGGAAUAUGCAAUCAAAAAGCUGUAAAUUGUAAUAUCAAAAAUUCAAAAUGUGGAAGUGGA